rnacentral:rRNA from 1 species
UACGGAGGAGGCAAGCGUUAUCCGGAAUGAUUGGGCGUAAAGCGUCCGCAGGUGGCUAUGUAAGUCUGCUGUUAAAGAGUGAGGCUCAACCUCAUAAGAGCAGUGGAAACUACAUGGCUAGAGUGCGUUCGGGGCAGAGGGAAUUCCUGGUGUAGCGGUGAAAUGCGUAGAGAUCAGGAAGAACACCGGUGGCGAAAGCGCUCUGCUAGGCCGCAACUGACACUGAGGGACGAAAGCUAGGGGAGCGAAUGGG